rfam:Schistosoma rodhaini strain Burundi genome assembly, scaffold: SROB_scaffold0000233
AUCUCGCUGACGAGUCCCGAAUAGGACAAAACGCGCAUCCUGCAU